rnacentral:rRNA from 1 species
GAUGAACGCUGGCGGCGUGCCUAAUACAUGCAAGUCGAGCGAAUGGAUUAAGAGCUUGCUCUUAUGAAGUUAGCGGCGGACGGGUGAGUAACACGCGGGUAACCUGCCCAUAAGACUGGGAUAACUCCGGGAAACCGGGGCUAAUACCGGAUAACAUUUUGAACCGCAUGGUUCGAAAUUGAAAGGCGGCUUCGGCUGUCACUUAUGGAUGGACCCGCGUCGCAUUAGCUAGUUGGUGAGGUAACGGCUCACCAAGGCAACGAUGCGUAGCCGACCUGAGAGGGUGAUCGGCCACACUGGGACUGGGACACGGCCCCGACUCCUACGGGAGGCAGCAGUAGGGAAUCGUCCGCAAUGGACGAAAGUCUGACGGAGCAACGCCGCGUGAGUGAUGAAGGCUUUCGGGUCGUAAAACUCUGUUGUUAGGGAAGAACAAGUGCUAGUUGAAUAAGCUGGCACCUUGACGGUACCUAACCAGAAAGCCACGGCUAACUACGUGCCAGCAGCCGCGGUAA